GAUGAACGCUGGCGGCGUGCCUAAUACAUGCAAGUCGAGCGAACAGACGAGGAGCUUGCUCCUCUGGCGUUAGCGGCGGACGGGUGAGUAACACGUGGAUAACCUACCUAUAAGACUGGGAUAACUUCGGGAAACCGGAGCUAAUACCGGAUAAUAUAUUGAACCGCAUGGUUCAAUAGUGAAAGACGGUUUUGCUGUCACUUAUAGAUGGAUCCGCGCCGCAUUAGCUAGUUGGUAAGGUAACGGCUUACCAAGGCAACGAUGCGUAGCCGACCUGAGAGGGUGAUAGGCCACACUGGAACUGAGACACGGUCCAGACUCCUACGGGAGGCAGCAGUAGGGAAUCUUCCGCAAUGGGCGAAAGCCUGACGGAGCAACGCCGCGUGAGUGAUGAAGGUCUUCGGAUCGUAAAACUCUGUUAUUAGGGAAGAACAAAUGUGUAAGUAACUAUGCACGUCUUGACGGUACCUAAUCAGAAAGCCACGGCUAACUACGUG
rnacentral:rRNA from 1 species